GCGAGAGUGGUGGAACUGGCAGACACGUAAGAUUUAGGAUCUUAUGCCGCAAGGCGUGGGGGUUCGACUCCCCCCUCUCGCACCA
rnacentral:tRNA from 1 species